rnacentral:rRNA from 1 species
CCUACGGGAGGCAGCAGUGGGGAAUAUUGCACAAUGGGGGAAACCCUGAUGCAGCAACGCCGCGUGAGUGAAGAAGUAUUUCGGUAUGUAAAGCUCUAUCAGCAGGGAAGAAAUAGCGACCUUUGGGUCGCCAGACGGUACCUGACUAAGAAGCCCCGGCUAACUACGUGCCAGCAGCCGCGGUAAUACGUAGGGGGCAAGCGUUAUCCGGAUUUACUGGGUGUAAAGGGAGCGUAGACGGCAGCACAAGUCUGAAGUGAAAUGCCGGGGCUUAACCCCGGAACCGCUUUGGGAACUGUGGAGCGUGAGUGGAGGGGAGGGAAGGUGAAUUCCUAGUGUAGCGGGGCAAUUCG